UGAGUAACACGUGGGCAAUCUGCCCUGCACUUCGGGAUAAGCCUGGGAAACUGGGUCUAAUACCGGAUAGGACCUUUAGACGCAUGUCUUUUGGUGGAAAGCUUUUGCGGUGUGGGAUGGGCCCGCGGCCUAUCAGCUUGUUGGUGGGGUGAUGGCCUACCAAGGCGACGACGGGUAGCCGGCCUGAGAGGGUGUCCGGCCACACUGGGACUGAGAUACGGCCCAGACUCCUACGGGAGGCAGCAGUGGGGAAUAUUGCACAAUGGGCGCAAGCCUGAUGCAGCGACGCCGCGUGGGGGAUGACGGCCUUCGGGUUGUAAACCUCUUUCACCAUCGACGAAGGUCCGGGUUUUCUCGGAUUGACGGUAGGUGGAGAAGAAGCACCGGCCAACUACGUGCCAGCAGCCGCGGUAAUACGUAGGGUGCGAGCGUUGUCCGGAAUUACUGGGCGUAAAGAGCUCGUAGGUGGUUUGUCGCGUUGUUCGUGAAAUCUCACGGCUUAACUGUGAGCGUGCGGGCGAUACGGGCAGACUAGAGUACUGCAGGGGAGACUGGAAUUCCUGGUGUAGCGGUGGAAUGCGCAGAUAUCAGGAGGAACACCGGUGGCGAAGGCGGGUCUCUGGGCAGUAACUGACGCUGAGGAGCGAAAGCGUGGGGGAGCGAACAGGAUUAGAUACCCUGGUAGUCCACGCCGUAAACGGUGGGUACUAGGUGUGGGGUUUCCUUCCUUGGGAUCCGUGCCGUAGCUAACGCAUUUAAGUACCCCCGCCUGGGGGAGUACGGCCGCAAAGGCUAAAAACUCAAAGGAAUUUGACGGGGGGCCCGCACAA
rnacentral:rRNA from 1 species